UUUGAUCCUGGCUCAGAUUGAACGCUGGCGGGAUGCUUUACACAUGCAAGUCGGAGCAGCGGCACGGACUUCGGUCUGGUGGCGAGUGGCGAACGGGUGAGUAAUGUAUCGGAACGUGCCUAGUAGCAGGGGAUAACUACAUGGCCCGUAAUAAUACCACAUACGCCCUUCGGGGAAAGCGGGGGACCUUCGGGCCUCGCACUAUUGAAGCGGCCGAUAUCGGAUUAGCUAGUUAGUGGGGUAACGGCUCACCAAGGCGACGAUCCGUAGCUGGUUUGAGAGGACGACCAACCACACUGGGACUGAGACACAGCCCAGACUCCUGCAGGAGGCAGCAGUGGGGAAUUUUUGGACAAUGGAAACCCUGACUGACCUCCCGCGUGUGCGAUGAAGGCCUUCCGGGUUGUAAAGCACUUUUGGCAGGAAAGAAACGGCACGGGAUAUUACCCCGUGCAACUGACCAAUACCUGCAGAGCCAGCACCGGCUAACUACGUGCCGGCAGCCGCGGUAAUACGUAGGGUGCAAGCGUUAAUCGGAAUUACUGGGCGUAAAGCGUGCGCAGGCGGUUCGGAAAGAAAGAUGUAGAAAUCAGAGCUUAACUUUGGAACUGCAUUUUUAACUACCGAGCUAGAGUGUGUCAGAGAGUGGAAUUCCGCAUGUAGCAGUGAAAUGCGUAGAUAUGCGGAGAACACCGAUGGCGAAGGCAACCUCCUGGGAUAACACUGACGCUCAUGCACGAAAAGCGUGGGGAGCAAACGGGAUUAGAUACCCUGGUAGUCCACGCCCUAAACGAUGUCAACUAGCUGUUGGGGCCUUCGGGCCUUGGUAGUGCAGCUAACGCGUGAAGUUGACCGCCUGGGGAGUACGGUCGCAAGAUUAAAACUCAAAGGAAUUGACGGGGACCCGCACAAGCGGUGGAUGAUGUGGAUUAAUUCGAUGCAACGCGAAAACCUUACCUACCCUUGACAUGUCUGGAAUCCCGAAGAGAUUUAGGAGUGCUCGCAAGAGAACCGGAACACAGGUGCUGCAUGGCUGUCGUCGCUCGUGUCGUGAGAUGUUGGGUUAAGUCCCGCAACGAAGCACAACCCUUGUCAUUAAUUUGCCCCGAAAGGCACUCUAAUGAGACUGCCGGUGACAAACCGGAGGAAGGUGGGGACGGCGUCAAGUCCUCAUGGCCCUUAUGGGUAGGGCUUCACACGUCAUACAAUGGUCGGGACAGAGGGUCGCCAACCCGCGAGGGGGAGCCAAUCCCAGAAACCCGAUCGUAGUCCGGAUGUCAUGAUCUGCAACUCGACUGCGUGAAGUCGGAAUCGCUAGUAAUCGCGGAUCAGCAUGUCGCGGUGAAUACGUUCCCGGGUCUUGUACACACCGCCCGUCACACCAUGGGAGUGGGUUUUACCAGAAGUAGUUAGCCUAACCGUAAGGAGGGCGAUUACCACGGUAGGAUUCAUGACUGGGGUGAAGUCGUAACAAAGAUAG
rnacentral:rRNA from 1 species